GACAGUGAUGUCCAAGACAAGCCAGUCUCCAGUUAUCAUAUAAGAAAAUUCCACUGUGACCUGUGUCAGUAUUCAACUAACAAACAAAGUCACCUACGAGUCCAUCAGACAACUCACUCAGGUACCAAACCUUUCCAGUGUUCCAUGUGUGAAAAAACAUUCACAGCAAAAACUACAGUUGAAAGACACAUACGCUGUGUCCAUAAUGGUGUGCGUCCUUAUCAGUGC